AACUGGGUGUAUUUUAUACUCAGCUUUUUCUGCUCAAUGAUAUAUUUAAUAGCCGCAGUACCCUGACUGUGCAAAGGUAGCAUAAUCAGUUGGCUCAUAAUUGGAGUCUUGUAUGAACGACCGCAUGGGUAUAAUCUGUCUCUAGGCAACACCUAGAAUUUUUUAAGUAAGUGAAAAUACUUACUGGUAUUUUAAAAGACGAGAAGACCCUAGAAAUUUUUUUUAAAAAUGCACCGUUGCGUUUUAUUAUUUUGCUGGGGCGGCAGAGUAACAGAGUAACUUACUCUAUGUACUUGACUCUUAUAUGCUGAGGGACUAUAAUUACUCUAGGGAUAACAGCGUAAUUCUGUUUGAGUUUGCGACCUCGAUGUUGGAUUAGGAAAGGGGGUGUGCAGAAGGCACUUUCCUACGUUCUGUUCGAACGGUGACUCCUACAUG
rnacentral:rRNA from 1 species